UACGAAGGGGGCUAGCGUUGUUCGGAAUUACUGGGCGUAAAGCGCACGUAGGCGGAUACUUAAGUCAGGGGUGAAAUCCCGGGGCUCAACCCCGGAACUGCCUUUGAUACUGGGUAUCUCGAGUCCGGAAGAGGUGAGUGGAAUUCCGAGUGUAGAGGUGAAAUUCGUAGAUAUCGGGAGGAACACCGGUGGCGAAGGCGGCGACCUGGGUGGAUACUGACGCUGAGGCGUGAAAGCGUGGGGAGCAAACAGG
rnacentral:rRNA from 1 species